GCGAACGCUGGCGGCGUGCCUCACCCAUGCCAGUCGCACGUGAAAGGGAGCAAUCCCAAGUAAAGUGGCGUACGGGUGAGUAACACGUAGGUAAUCUACCCCAGAAUCUGGAAUAACCGGCCGAAAGGCUGGCUAAUACUGGAUAGAGCGACGGAAUCCGUAAUUGGGUUUUUCGGGAAAGGGAGCCUGUAAAAAGGCCUUCGUUCUGGGAUGAGCCUGCGUCCCAUCAGCUAGUUGGUGAGGUAAAAGCUUACCAAGGCAAUGACGGGUAGCUGGUCUGAGAGGACGAUCAGCCACACUGGAACUGAAACACGGUCCAGACUCCUACGGGAGGCAGCAGUGGGGAAUCUUGCGCAAUGGACGAAAGUCUGACGCAGCAACGCCGCGUGAGUGAAGAAGGCCUUCGGGUUGUAAAGCUCUGUCGAGUGGGACGAAAAUGCUUGGAGUUCACAGCUCCAGGAACUGACGGUACCACUAAAGGAAGCACCGGCUAACUCCGUG
rnacentral:rRNA from 1 species